rnacentral:rRNA from 1 species
GUCUACGGCCACACCUCCCUGAAUGCGCCUGAUCUCAUCUGAUUUCAGAAGAAGAGUUGUGCUUGGUUAGUACUUUGGGGUAAAAUGGUAGUUU